CCUACGGGAGGCAGCAGUGAGGAAUAUUGGUCAAUGGCCGCGAGCCUGAACCAGCCAAGUAGCGUGAAGGAUGAAUGCCCUACGGAUUGUAAACUUCUUUUGUCAAGGAAUAAAGUUAGGCACGUGUGCCUUUUUGUAUGUACUUUAUGAAUAAGGAUCGGCUAACUCCGUGCCAGCAGCCGCGGUAAUACGGAGGAUCCGAGCGUUAUCCGGAUUUAUUGGGUUUAAAGGGUGCGUAGAUGGGUUGUUAAGUCAGUGGUGAAAGUUUGGGGCUCAACCGUAAAAUUGCAAUUGAUACUGGCAGACUUGAGUACAGGUGAGGUAGGCGGAAUUCGUGGUGUAGCGGUGAAAUGCUUAGAUAUCACGAAGAACUCCGAUUGCGAAGGCAGCUUACUAAACUGCCACUGACAUUGAUGCUCGAAAGUGUGGGUAUCAAACAGGAUUAGAUACCCUAGUAGUC
rnacentral:rRNA from 1 species